AAGUGCGAGUGGCGAACGGGUGAGUAACACGUGGGCAAUCUGCCCAAAAGUGGGGGAUAACACUUGGAAACAGGUGCUAAUACCGCAUCAACCGGCUGACCGCAUGGUCGGCCGGGCAAAGACGGCGUCAGCUGUCGCUUUUGGAUGAGCCCGCGGCGUAUUAACUAGUUGGUAAGGUAACGGCUUACCAAGGUGAUGAUACGUAGCCGAACUGAGAGGUUGAUCGGCCACAUUGGGACUGAGACACGGCCCAAACUCCUACGGGAGGCAGCAGUAGGGAAUCUUCCACAAUGGACGCAAGUCUGAUGGAGCAACGCCGCGUGUAUGAAGAAGGUCUUCGGAUCGUAAAAUACUGUUGUCAGAGAAGAACACGUGAUAGAGUAACUGCUAUGGCGCUGACGGUAUCUGACCAGCAAGUCACGGCUAACUACGUGCCAGCAGCCGCGGUAAUACGUAGGUGGCAAGCGUUGUCCGGAUUUAUUGGGCGUAAAGGGAACGCAGGCGGUCUUUUAAGUCUGAUGUGAAAGCCUUCGGCUUAACCGGAGAAGUGCAUUGGAAACUGGAAGACUUGAGUGCAGAAGAGGAGAGUGGAACUCCAUGUGUAGCGGUGAAAUGCGUAGAUAUAUGGAAGAACACCAGUGGCGAAAGCGGCUCUCUGGUCUGUAACUGACGCUGAGGUUCGAAAGCGUG
rnacentral:rRNA from 1 species